rnacentral:rRNA from 1 species
GUCUAAAAUGUCACCCUGCAGCCUAAGAGCAUAAGAGCAUGCCCCUCACUGAAGCUGAGCAGGGCUGAGCCUGGUCAGUGUCUGGAUGGGAGACCACAUGGGAACGCUAGGCUGCUGUUGGCA